rnacentral:rRNA from 1 species
UAGGGAAUUUUUCACAAUGAGCGAAAGCUUGAUGGAGCAAUGCCGCGUGAACGAUGAAGGUCUUUAAGAUUGUAAAGUUCUUUUAUUUGGGAAGAAUGACUUUAGCAGGUAAUGGCUAGAGUUUGACUGUACCAUUUUGAAUAAGUGACGACUAACUAUGUGCCAGCAGUCGCGGUAAUACAUAGGUCGCAAGCGUUAUCCGGAUUUAUUGGGCGUAAAGCAAGCGCAGGCGGAUUGAAAAGUCUGGUGUUAAAGGCAGCUGCUUAACAGCUGUAUGCAUUGGAAACUAUUAAUCUAGAGUGUGGUAGGGAGUUUUGGAAUUUCAUGUGGAGCGGUGAAAUGCGUAGAUAUAUGAAGGAACACCAGUGGCGAAGGCGAAAACUUAGGCCAUUACUGACGCUUAGGCUUGAAAGUGUGGGGAGCAAAUAGGAUUAGAUACCCUAGUAGUCCACACCGUAACGAUAGAUACUAGCUGUCGGGGCGAUCCCCUCGGUAGUGAAGUUAACACAUUAAGUAUCUCGCCUGGGUAGUACAUUCGCAAGAAUG